UGCAGUUAAAAGCUCGUAGUUGACUUCUGGCCGCGUACAGGUUUGGCUUCAGUCGACUUGUUAUGCAGUCAUCCGUCUGCAAACUUAGUCGGCCUUUACUGGUUCGACUAAGAAAGCAGACAAUUUACCUUGAAAAAAUUAGAGUGUUUCAGGCAGGUAACCGCCGGAAUACAUUAGCAUGGAAUAAUGGAAUAGGACUUAGCUCCUUUGUUGGUUUUAGGAACUUAGUAAUGAUUAAUAGGAACAGUUGGGGGCAUUAGUUUUUAAUUGUCAGAGGUGAAAUUCUUGGAUUUAUUAAAGACUAACUAAUGCGAAAGCUUUUA
rnacentral:rRNA from 1 species